UUUUUGAUUAAUAAUUUAAAGUCUAAUCUGCCCACUGAUGGAUAUAUUAAAGGGCUGCAGUAUUUUGACUGUACAAAGGUAGCAUAAUCAUUAGUCUCUUAAUUGGUGACUUGUAUGAAAGAUUUCAUGAAAUAUAUACUGUCUUUUAUUAAUUUAUAUAAUUUAAUUUUUUAGUUAAAAAGCUAAGAUAUAUUUAAAAGACGAGAAGACCCUAUAGAGUUUUAUAUUUAAAUAAGUUAAAAUUUUAUAUAAAAUUUAUAAUUUUAAUUUAUUUAAAUAUUUUAUUGGGGUGAUAGAAAAAUUAAAAUAACUUUUUAUAUAAAUUUUCAUUUAUAGAUGAGUAAAUGAUCCGUAAUUUACGAUUAAAAGAAAAAAUUACCUUAGGGAUAACAGCGUAAUUUUUUUUUUUAGUUCAAAUAAUAAAAAAAGUUUGCGACCUCGAUGUUGGAUUAAGAUAAAAUUUAAAUGCAAAAGUUUAAAAUUUUUGAUCUGUUCGAUCAUUAAAAUCUUACA
rnacentral:rRNA from 1 species